UGUUAGAGAGAGAAAACUUGUGUCGUUCAGUGUUGUGACUUUUUGCACUUAUUUGUGCAAUAAUAAUUGUUAAUUAAUUAUAAAUUGUCGUUAAAUCGAUUAAUUAAAUUUUUCUGAACAGAAUGUGAUAUAAAUUAUUGUAAAGUUUGGUGAAUUUUGACCAAAAUUAAUAGACCUGUCAAUGGCGUUUUAGCAGACAAAGGCAAUUGUUAAUUUGUUAAAUAAUGCACAAAUAAUACUUGUGAUUUUCGUCAAAAAUUAAUGGACCUGUCAAUGAUCUUGGAGCUGACAAAGGCAAAUCUUAAAUUGUUAAACAGCGAACAAAUGAUGACAAAAAGUGUGGCUGGAACGUCUAAUGUGUCAAUGUAGUUUAUUAAACACAAUUGCUGUAACUGGAACCAAAAAAAUGACUAAAUUGCUUUGUCAUUGACGCCAAAAUCAUUUUAGAGUAAAUUGUAUCACAUACAUCCAUGGCAAUAGCAUUAAUAUUGCUUUAUUACAUAUAACAACGGGGGCAGCUUGUAUGUUAAUAAUGAUAAUAUGAUAAGGAACAACAAUCAGUAACAUCACAUGGUACUGGUAUUAUUGACUCUUAAUGUACCACUUAUGGUUCAAUUGUUGUUAAUUUGUUAUUGGUGAACAUUAACUUGUUUUCGUUGAGCUUUAUCAAAGUUUAUUAAAAUUUGCUUUGAUGUCAGCCGCUGUUGUUGCUCACAAUAAAAUUACAUGUUGCUGUUCAGAUUUUCAAGAAAAAACUGCCUCUACUAGAAAGAAUGUUACGACAAUCGGCUCGAGAUCUUCUUUGCAAAGUGAUAAAUCGUUUCGAAAUAAUAACAAUAAUAAACUAUUUCAAAAGUAUAUAAUAAUAUUAAAAAGUGAA